CCCAGAGGGACCGUGGAUGGAAAUGGAGUUUAGUAAGAUUCUUUACACCUGCCUCCCUAGACAUGUCCCAACACAGCUGAGGAUUGCAGAUCUCCAGGGAAGAAGAAAAGGGUGGGGUCCUACCAAAUGACAGAACCUUCUACCAUGAGGAGGUUUCAAGCCCUAACUUAAAAGUAAAAGGAAGAACCAGUACUAGGAGCCAAUGCCUACUAUGUCAAGUUGAUCAGAUCAAAGUCAGCAGCAACAUAAGCUCAGUCAGAGGCCUAUAAAUUCUAAGAUCUGUAAUUCCAACAAUAGGCCAGAUAUUCAGUCCUCCUGCCCCUGCUUCCUUCCCCACAAAAAGUGGCUGCCCUUCCCCAGCUGUACACCAGUCUAAACAUGUUUAAUAA